UAGGGAAUCUUCCGCAAUGGGCGAAAGCCUGACGGAGCAACGCCGCGUGAGUGAUGAAGGUCUUCGGAUCGUAAAACUCUGUUAUUAGGGAAGAACAAAUGUGUAAGUAACUAUGCACGUCUUGACGGUACCUAAUCAGAAAGCCACGGCUAACUACGUGCCAGCAGCCGCGGUAAUACGUAGGUGGCAAGCGUUAUCCGGAAUUAUUGGGCGUAAAGCGCGCGUAGGCGGUUUUUUAAGUCUGAUGUGAAAGCCCACGGCUCAACCGUGGAGGGUCAUUGGAAACUGGAAGACUUGAGUGCAGAAGAGGAAAGUGGAAUUCCAUGGGUAGCGGUGAAAUGCGCAGAGAUAUGGAGGAACCCCAGUGGCGAAGGCGACUUUCUGGUCUGUAACUGACGCUAAUGUGCGAAAGCGUGGGGAUCAAACAGG
rnacentral:rRNA from 1 species